rnacentral:rRNA from 1 species
GGGCCCGCACAAGCAGUGGAGUAUGUGGUUUAAUUCGACGCAACGCGAAGAACCUUACCAAGUCUUGACAUCCUGCGACGAACGUAGAGAUACGUUUUUCCUUCGGGACGCAGAGACAGGUGGUGCAUGGUUGUCGUCAGCUCGUGUCGUGAGAUGUUGGGUUAAGUCCCGCAACGAGCGCAACCCUUAUGCUUAGUUACUACGCAAGAGGACUCUAAGCAGACUGCCGUUGACAAAACGGAGGAAGGUGGGGAUGACGUCAAAUCAUCAUGCCCUUUAUGACUUGGGCUACACACGUACUACAAUGGCGUUUAACAAAGAGAAGCAAGACCGCGAGGUGGAGCAAAACUCAAAAACAACGUCUCAGUUCAGACUGCAGGCUGCAACUCGCCUGCACGAAGUCGGAAUUGCUAGUAAUCGCGGAUCAGCAUGCCGCGGUGAAUACGUUCCCGGGCCUU